GCCGCUGUAGCUCAAUUGGUAGAGCAUUGCACGUGAAAUGCGAAGGUUGUGGGAUCGGUUCCCACCUGCGGCA
rnacentral:tRNA from 1 species